CCUGUGAACCCUGGGCCAGCAAAGCAGAGUGUGUGAACUUAACCACCACGCCACCAGGCUGGCCCCUUGUUCUUGUUUCUUAUUUACUAGUAUACCCUGGAGAUCCAUCAUACCGUAUCAGCACACAGAGAGCAUUCUCAUUCUUUAUUUCCAAACACAGAGUACCCUAUUAUCUAUUUAUAUAUACAUCUCCUACUUUAUUUAACCAGUCGACUCCAGAAGGACGUUGGGUUGUUUCCAGCUCUUUGGUCGGCUAAACACGCUGCAACGAAUAACCUUAUAUAUGCAUGAUUUUACGUACAUUUAGGAUACAUUUCCGGAAGUGGAAUUGCUGGGUCAAAUUGUAUAUGUGUUUGUGAUUCUGAUAGAUAUUGCCAGAUUGUCCUCCAUGGGGGUGAUGGCCAUUUGUGCUCCCACGGGUAACGAGUGAGAGUGUCUGUGUCCCCAGGGCUGGUUCGUGUUCUGAAGAACCCUCGAGUGGAGACUAUCCCAUUCAACAUCAACUUGGUAGGAGAGACUAGCCUCUUUUACUCCUUAUUUCCCUAUCACUCUGCGACCUUUCACUUCUUGCCUCCAGCUGGCUGCAAGAUUGCAGCCAAGUUAUUUAAGCACUUGUGCCUUGGUUUCUCCAUCUGUAAAAUGGGGCUAUAAGAGUACCUACAGCCUAUGGUAGUUGGGAGAGUUCCAUGAGCUAAUGCACACAAAGCGUGGAACACGGUUCAGACAAAGUAACUGCUUAGAAAUGCUGUCUGUUAUUACGUGGGUCAAAUAAAUAAUGCCACUUAGAGAUUGCGCCAUCUCUGUCUCUAUUAGGCCACUGUGUGCUAACAUCUAUGUUAUAAAACUACAAGGGCACCGAACAUUUUCUUGGAGGAAGACGAAUCUUGGUUCCAGGAAAGAAUGGGAAAACCAACCAUUGGGAAGGAUGGGGAAGUGAGAAGUGACCUGGAUAGAGCUGCUGCAUACAGCUGUACAGUGUGUGCACUGCACAAAGGCCUCUACUAAAGGGGCUCUUAUUCUCACAUGGACUUCAGGACUGGUCCCUCCUAAGGAAUGUGAAAAAGAAGCGUUCGGAUUCCAGGCUGCUCAUAAAUCUGCCUUCUGUGUUAUCAUUUUUUACCUGCCUACUUCUGUUUCUCCUGGGUUCGAAGGAAGUGCUUUACUUUAGAAAUGAUUCACUACCCCUGGGCCACCGACGGCUUUGAAAGCCACACGAGACAAGUUCCAUUUCAAACCCCCCGAUUUAUAAUCAUGGGGGAAAGCUGGCUGUUGUCUUGAGGGUUGUCCACGAUCUCACAAACCCAACCUUUGUUCCUCAUGUGCCCAUUUUUCAAAAACUUACUACUCAAAUCUCUGAAAGUCAUCGCCCCCGAGGAAACGUUUAUCUUUGGUUGGACAUCUUUUGCGCUGUAUCCCUUUUCAACUGUCCUUUCUAAUAUAGGAUAAAUGGCUCUGCGGGGUUUGGAGUGAAGAGUUACGUCUUGCAGCAUGUUUGUGAGUGUGUAGAAACCCUACUCCCCUCCCCUCUGCCCCUGGGCCAGAGAUGGGGGAAUAACCAGUUAAGACAAAUGGGUUUGGGCGAUGUUGUGGGUUGAACUGUGUCCCUCAAAAUUCAUGUUGAAGUCCUCACUCCCAGAACGUCAGAAUGUGGUCUUAUUUGGAGAUCGGGCUGUUGCAGAUGUAAUUAGUUAAGAUGAGGUCAUACUGGAGUAGGGUGAGCCUCUAAUCCGUUAUAACUGGUGUCUUUAUAAAAAGGGAAACUUUGGAGACAGACAUGGAUGGAGGGACAUUGCCAUGUGAAGAUGAAGGCAGAGAUCUACAAGUCAAGGAAUGCCUAAGACUGCCAGCAAGACGUCAGAAGCUAGGAGAGAGGCAUGGACACUUUCCCUCACCGCCCCCAGAAGGAACCAACCCUGCCGGUGGCCCCUUGAUUUCAAACUUCCAGCCUCCAGAACUGGGAGAUAAUGAAUCUCUGCUGUUUAAGUCACCCCAUUCGUGGCUGUUUGUUAUGGCAGCCACAUGGAAACGGAGGUGUUUACGAUGUUCGUCUAAAGGUCAGUAUUUGCUUGGGAGGCAAUAUAACAUAGUGGCUAAGUACUCGGGUUUUUAGAACCAGACACCUUAAGUUUGAAUUCCCAGUUGCAUAAACUGGGAGAAUUAUUUACCAUCUCAGAGUUCCACUUUCCUCAAAAUAAAAUGGGGCGUAAUAGAGAUUGACUUGAUAGUGCUGUCACGAGGAUUAAAUAAGAUAACGUAUUUAAAGCAGUAAGCCCAAUAUCUGGCCCAUGGUAAGCAUCUGAUGAGUGACAGUUAUUGUUACAGUUAUUAUCAGCAAGAAUUGGCAACAUUUACCAAGUCUGAAAGACACCUCGGCUACUUAGAAUUUAAAAAUUUCUGCUUGGACCACACUUAAUCGAUGGUUGAAACUUCCCCCGGUCUGACCCCUGCUCUCAAGGCUAAUGGCCUGGGGCUGUUUGCCAUCUCUGUUUCCUCUCAGGGAUUUGAUCUCUCUCUGUCAAAUAGGGCUUGUCAUAAUUGACACACAAGAAGAUCCACUUGCCAUUUAAACAAGUAAAAUUAAGAUGGUUCUAGAAACUGGGUGAGAAUUCAGAGUGACCAAACAGUUACCGAGAUCACGUAUUCAUUCACGUUCAAACAACAUGUAUCUAUUGAACGCCAGUGGACUCAGCGCAGGCUCUGACUCAGAAUGGGUUGUUUCUCCUGUGAACAGAGGGAGGGGUGCAGCACAAUGGUCACGCCACCGAGACUGCCACUCCAUGAAACAUAUUCCAGGUACUGGGCACUGCCUUAGAGCCGCUACCCUUUAAAAUUCUUUGAGGUUAGAUAGUGUUAUCACCCCCAUUUUACAGAUAAGGAAACUGAGGCACAGAGUGAUUAAGUAACUUGCUUGAGGCCAUGAGUAGUUAUUGGAAGAAUGAGGGUUUGAACCCAAAUCUCUCAGACUCCAAAGCCCUUUUGUUAAUGUGUGUGUGUGUGUGUGU